rnacentral:rRNA from 1 species
AUUGAACGCUGGCGGCAUGCCUUACACAUGCAAGUCGAACGGUAACGGGCCUUCGGGUGCCGACGAGUGGCGAACGGGUGAGUAAUACAUCGGAACGUGCCCGAUCGUGGGGGAUAACGAGGCGAAAGCUUUGCUAAUACCGCAUACGAUCUCCGGAUGACAGCAGGGGACCGCAAGGCCUUGCGCGGACGGACCGGCCGAUGGCAGAUUAGGUAGUUGGUGGGAUAAAAGCUUACCAAGCCGACGAUCUGUAGCUGGUCUGAGAGGAUGAUCAGCCACACUGGGACUGAGACACGGCCCAGACUCCUACGGGAGGCAGCAGUGGGGAAUUUUGGACAAUGGGCGCAAGCCUGAUCCAGCCAUGCCGCGUGCAGGAUGAAGGCCUUCGGGUUGUAAACUGCUUUUGUACGGAACGAAAAGCCUUCUUUUAAUACAGGAGGGUCAUGACGGUACCGUAAGAAUAAGCACCGGCUAACUACGUG